GUAGGUGGCAAGCGUUGUCCGGAAUUAUUGGGCGUAAAGCGCGCGCAGGCGGUUCUUUAAGUCUGAUGCGAAAGCCCACGGCUCAACCGUGGAGGGUCAUUGGAAACUGGAGAACUUGAGUACAGAAGAGGAAAGCGGAAUUCCACGUGUAGCGGUGAAAUGCGUAGAGAUGUGGAGGAACACCAGUGGCGAAGGCGGCUUUCUGGUCUGUAACUGACGCUGAGGCGCGAAAGCGUGGGGAGCAAACAGGAUUAGAUACCCUGGUAGUCCACGCCGUAAACGAUGAGUGCUAAGUGUUAGGGGGGUUUCCGCCCCCCUUAGUGCUGCAGCUAACGCAUUAAGCACUCCGCCGGGGGAGUACGGCCGCAAGGCUG
rnacentral:rRNA from 1 species